AUUGAACGCUGGCGGCAUGCCUUACACAUGCAAGUCGAACGGUAACAGGUCUUCGGAUGCUGACGAGUGGCGAACGGGUGAGUAAUACAUCGGAACGUGCCCGAUCGUGGGGGAUAACGGAGCGAAAGCUUUGCUAAUACCGCAUACGAUCUACGGAUGAAAGCGGGGGAUCUUCGGACCUCGCGCGGACGGAGCGGCCGAUGGCAGAUUAGGUAGUUGGUGGGAUAAAAGCUUACCAAGCCGACGAUCUGUAGCUGGUCUGAGAGGAUGAUCAGCCACACUGGGACUGAGACACGGCCCAGACUCCUACGGGAGGCAGCAGUGGGGAAUUUUGGACAAUGGGGGCAACCCUGAUCCAGCCAUGCCGCGUGCAGGAUGAAGGCCUUCGGGUUGUAAACUGCUUUUGUACGGAACGAAAAGACUCUGGUUAAUACCUGGGGACCAUGACGGUACCGUAAGAAUAAGCACCGGCUAACUACGUGCCAGCCGCCGCCGUAAGAC
rnacentral:rRNA from 1 species